rnacentral:misc_RNA from 1 species
UUGCCUCGAUGCGUGCUCCGCAUCCGUCCCGUCGCCACUGCUUUUGCAACAGCGCCGGCUCGCUGUGCUUCUGUCCUUCGCCAUAGCGCCCAUGCCGCUGCUUUUCAUUUUACUACAUAUAUGGAGCACCUUCACUCGUCUCUUCCUCUUUCCCUCCGCCUGGUACUCGGCGCAAGUGCCUUUCUCCUCCUCGACUCCGUCGCCGUGAUCUGCUACGUAGCAGAAGGGCAGGCACGCGCAGAUCCUCUGGCUGUCCUGUCGGCCUCUUCUGCAGCUGUUCCAGUUGCAGUGCUUUUGGACACGAGCACCACCAGCUAUGGAGGCCCGCUUUUGGAAACUGAGGAUCGCUUUUGGGAACUAUCCCAGUUCAUCUAG